UACGUAGGGUGCGAGCGUUAAUCGGAAUUACUGGGCGUAAGGCGUGCGCAGGCGGUGAUGUAAGACAGUUGUGAAAUCCCCGGGCUCAACCUGGGAACUGCAUCUGUGACUGCAUUGCUGGAGUGCGGCAGAGGGGGACGGAAUUCCGCGUGUAGCAGUGAAAUGCGUAGAUAUGCGGAGGAACACCGAUGGCGAAGGCAAUCCCCUGGGCCUGCACUGACGCUCAUGCACGAAAGCGUGGGGAGCAAACAGG
rnacentral:rRNA from 1 species